CGGAAUCUACUUUUUCGUGGGGGAUAACGUAGGGAAACUUACGCUAAUACCGCAUACGACCUACGGGUGAAAGCAGGGGACCUUCGGGCCUUGCGCGAUUGAAUGAGCCGAUGUCGGAUUAGCUAGUUGGCGGGGUAAAGGCCCACCAAGGCGACGAUCCGUAGCUGGUCUGAGAGGAUGAUCAGCCACACUGGAACUGAGACACGGUCCAGACUCCUACGGGAGGCAGCAGUGGGGAAUAUUGGACAAUGGGCGCAAGCCUGAUCCAGCCAUACCGCGUGGGUGGAGAAGGCCUUCGGGUUGUAAAGCCCUUUUGUUGGGAAAGAAAUCCAGCCGGUUAAUACCUGGUUGGGAUGACGGUACCCAAAGAAUAAGCACCGGCUAACUUCGUGCCAGCAGCCGCGGUAAUACGAAGGGUGCAAGCGUUACUCGGAAUUACUGGGCGUAAAGCGUGCGUAGGUGGUCGUUUAAGUCUGUUGUGAAAGCCCUGGGCUCAACCUGGGAACUGCAGUGGAAACUGGACGACUAGAGUGUGGUAGAGGGUAGCGGAAUUCCUGGU
rnacentral:rRNA from 1 species